rnacentral:rRNA from 1 species
UACGUAGGGGGCAAGCGUUGUCCGGAUUUAUUGGGCGUAAAGAGCGUGUAGGCGGCUUUACAGGUCCGUUGUGAAAACUCGAGGCUCAACCUCGAGACGCCGGUGGAAACCGUAAAGCUAGAGUCCGGAAGAGGAGAGUGGAAUUCCCGGUGUAGCGGUGAAAUGCGCAGAUAUCGGGAAGAACACCCGUGGCGAAGGCGGCUCUCUGGGACGGUACUGACGCUGAGACGCGAAAGCGUGGGGAGCAAACGGG